UCUAUGUUAGUCUAACUAAAGAUAUAAAAUUUAGAAUUUUAAGAUGUUUUAACUCGUAGAA
rnacentral:tRNA from 1 species